rnacentral:rRNA from 1 species
UACGUAGGGUGCAAGCGUUAAGCGGAAUUACUGGGCGUAAAGCGUGCGCAGGCGGUUUUGUAAGUCUGUCGUGAAAUCCCCGGGCUCAACCUGGGAAUGGCGGUGGAUACUGGAUAGCUAGAGUGUGUCAGAGGAUGGUGGAAUUCCCGGUGUAGCGGUGAAAUGCGUAGAGAUCGGGAGGAACAUCAGUGGCGAAGGCGGCCAUCUGGGACAACACUGACGCUGAAGCACGAAAGCGUGGGGAGCAAACAGG